AAACCAAGCUGACUGAUUUCCCUUAAGAAAGGAAGAAGGAACUUAUUUCAUAUAAUGAAAAACUUGCAAAACCAGUACAUUACAAGGAAUAUGAAACAGCAGCAUCCUCCGAAUUCUGUCAAAUUUGUUGUGAACUGAAAACACUGAUGAUUCAAUCCCAGGAGUGAAAAUAUGUUCUCUCGUCAAGCCUUCUAGGGAGCAGUAGUUUUCAGAUAAACGUAAGGUAAUGUGCUAUAUUCUGUCCUAGUGGCAGCUAUGCAUGCAUUAAAUGAAAAUGAUCACCCCAUUCUUGGAGCAGGUAAAGAGCUUGAAGAAGCUUUUCUAAAUUCCAGUCUUUGGUUUCCUUAUUUCCUCCAAAUAGCAAAAAAAAAUGACAGAAAGUUAUGAAUCCUGUGGCUUCUAAGGAUGAAGAGUUCCUAAAUAGACUAGAGAAAUUGGAAAAGAAAAGCCAGGCGGUACAAGAUUCUGGGGUGUCAUAAAACCAGUGGGCAUCCUUCACAUCUUGUGGGGUCAGUUCUACUCGUUUGGUGGAUUUAUCUGCAACCAUAACA